GAUGAACGCUGGCGGCGUGCUUAACACAUGCAAGUCGAACGGAAAGGCCCAAGCUUGCUUGGGUACUCGAGUGGCGAACGGGUGAGUAACACGUGGGUGAUCUGCCCUGCACUUCGGGAUAAGCCUGGGAAACUGGGUCUAAUACCGGAUAGGACCACUUCUUGUAUGUUGUGGUGGAAAGUUUUUCGGUGUGGGAUGAGCUCGCGGCCUAUCAGCUUGUUGGUGGGGUAAUGGCCUACCAAGGCGUCGACGGGUAGCCGGCCUGAGAGGGUGUACGGCCACAUUGGGACUGAGAUACGGCCCAGACUCCUACGGGAGGCAGCAGUGGGGAAUAUUGCACAAUGGGCGCAAGCCUGAUGCAGCGACGCCGCGUGGGGGAUGACGGCCUUCGGGUUGUAAACUCCUUUCGCUAGGGACGAAGCUUAUUUUGUGACGGUACCUGGAGAAGAAGCACCGGCUAACUACGUG
rnacentral:rRNA from 1 species